rnacentral:tRNA from 1 species
UGUCUUACAGCUCAGUUGGUAGAGUAUGCGCUGUACAAAGGCGUAGACAGCGUCGAUAUGUGGGUUCGAAUCCCACCGAGGCUA